rnacentral:tRNA from 1 species
AUAUAUUAAUCUUAUACUUUAUAUCUUUAAAUUUGCAAUUUAAUAUUUUUUUUUUAAACUAUAAUAUA